UACAGAGGUCUCAAGCGUUGUUCGGAUUCAUUGGGCGUAAAGGGUGCGUAGGCGGCGCGGUAAGUCGGGUGUGAAAUCUCGGAGCUUAACUCCGAAAACUGCAUUCGAUACUGCCGUGCUUGAGGACUGGAGAGGAGACCGGAAUUUACGGUGUAGCGGUGAAAUGCGUAGAUAUCGUAAGGAAGACCAGUGGCGAAGGCGGGUCUCUGGACAGUUCCUGACGCUGAGGCACGAAGGUCAGGGGGAGCAAACGGG
rnacentral:rRNA from 1 species